GCUACAAUUCACAGAGAGCAGAGGUUAGCAGUGUCACUCGUUCAUCAGCUACAAUUCACAGAGAACAGAGGUUAGCAGUGCCACUCGUUCAUCAGCUACAAUUCACAGAGAGCAGAGGUUAGCAGUGUCACUCGUUCAUCAGCUACAAUUCACAGAGAACAGAGGUUAGCAGUGCCACUCGUUCAUCAGCUACAAUUCACAGAGAGCAGAGGUUAGCAGUGUCACUCGUUCAUCAGCUACAAUUGACAGAGAACAGAGGUUAGCAGUGUCACUCGUUCAUCAGCUACAAUUCACAGAGAGCAGAGGUUAGCAGUGCCACUCGUUCAUCAGCUACAAUUCACAGAGAGCAGAGGUUAGCAGUGUCACUCGUUCAUCAGCUACAAUUCACAGAGAGCAGAGGUUAGCAGUGUCACUCGUUCAUCAGCUACAAUUCACAGAGAACAGAGGUUAGCAGUGUCACUCGUUCAUCAGCUACAAUUCACAGAGAACAGAGGUUAGCAGUGUCACUCGUUCAUCAGCUACAAU